GCCCGCGUAGCCCAAUGGCAGAGGCAGGAGACUUAAAAUCUCCCAAGUGCGGGUUCGAGUCCCGCCGAGGGCA
rnacentral:tRNA from 1 species